AAGGAACUAGAAACUAUAAAGAGGACUCAAAAUGAGAUAACUUGGAGUUCCCUUCGUGGCUCAGUGGUUAACGAACCCAACUAGGAUCUAUGAGGAUGCAGGUUUAAUCCCUGGCUUUGCUCAGUGGGUUAAGGAUCUGGCAUUGCUGUGAGCUGUGGUGUAGAUUGUGGACACAGCUUGGAUCAUAUGUUGCUGUGGCUGUGGUGUAGGCUGGCAGCUGCAGCUCCGAUUUGACCCCUAGCCCAGGAACCUCCAUAUGUUACAGGUGCAGCCCUAAAAAAAGCCAAAAAAAAUUAGGCAACUCAAUUUUCAAAAUAAAAACAGAGCUAAAGGCAAUGAAUAGUAUACUAAUAAUGUACAAGAACAAAUAAGUGAUCUGGAAGACAGAAUAAUGAAAUUACCCCAAAAGAAAAGCAGACAGAGAGACAAAUAUAAAAAAUAUAAGCAACACAUGAGCUCUAUGGGAUAAUAUAAAGCAUGCCAUUCUAUGCGUAACAGGGAUUCCAGAAGGAGAAGAAAGAGAAAAGAGGAUUGAAAUUGUAUUUGAAGAAAUAAUGGCUGAAAACUUCCCAAACCUAAAGUAGAAAACAUAUAUCCACAUACAGGAAGUACAGAGGGUCCCAAAUAAGACAUCAUCAAACAGCAUCACAGCAAAACAUAUCAUAAUUAAAAUUGCAAAAUUUAAAGAUAAAGAGAGGAUUCUAAAGGAAGCAAGAGAAAAACAAAGUUAAAAGUAAGCCUCCAUAAGGCUACCAGUUGAUUUCUCUACAGAAAUUGUCAGACCAGAAGGGAGUGGUAUGACAUAUUCUAACUCCUUAAACUGAAAAGACUAGGAUACUCUAUCCAGCAAGAUUAUUUUAGAAUUCAGGGAGAAACUAAGAAUUUCUCAGACAAGCAAAAACUUGUAUUCUUUUAGAAUACGGAACUGCUAAAUCUAAGCUAAAAGGAAUACUGAAAGGUCUUCUCUAAACAGAAAAGAAACAAGCACCUUAUAGGAAAGGGAAAAAUACAAUAGAAAAGGCAAAUAUACAAAAAACUGAAGAUCACUUAAGUAAUCCAAUACAUUGAUUAAAAACCAAUCAAAAUAUUUUGUAAUUGUGAUUGUAAGUAAAAUAGACAGCAAAAGGAUAAACAUGGAUAUCAAAACAGGAUAUAAAAAUCACAAAAUGUGGGGGAAGUAAGUAAAAAAGUAUAAACCUUUUAAAAUAUAUUUGAACUUAUAUGACUAUCAUUCUAAAACAAAUAGAUAUAGCUUACAGGUAAACAGGAUAUAAAAAUCACAAAAUGUGGGGGAAGUAAGUAAAAAAGUAUAAACCUUUUAAAAUAUAUUUGAACUUACAUGACUAUCAUUCUAAAGCAAAUAGAUAUAGCUUACUUGAAAAAUAGGGUAACCACACAUCAAAAUAUACAAGAGAAUGACAAAUACCAAAAGAAAGGAACUCAUGCAUAGUACAAAAGAAAACUAUUAAGCUACAAAAGGAAAGACAAAAGGAAGAAAGGAACACAGAACUACAAAAUCAACUCAAACAUAAGAUUUAAAAUGGCAAUAAAUACAUAUUAUGAUAAUUACUUUACAUGUUAAUGAACUAAAUAUUUCUAUCAAAAAAUAUAGAGUGGCAGAUAGGAUAGCAAAACAGGAACCUGUAAUAUCCUGUCUACAAGGGACACACUUUAAAGCAAAAGAAAAACAGAGAUUGGAAAUGAAGGGAUUGAAAAACAUAUUUCUGGGAGUUUCCAUUGUGGCUCAGCUGUAACAAACCUGACUAGUAUCCAUGAGGAUGAGAGUCCGAUCCCUGGCCUAGCACAGUGAGUUAAGGAUCUGGCUGUGAGCUAUGCUGUAGGCCACAGACAUGGCUCUGAUCCUGUGUUGCUGUGGCUGUGGUGUAGGCUGGCAGCUACAUCUCUGAUUCAACCCCUAGCCUGAGAACUUCCAUAUGCUUCAACUGUGGCCCUAAAACCAAAAAAAAAAAAAAAAAAAAAAAA
rnacentral:lncRNA from 1 species